rnacentral:rRNA from 1 species
AUUGAACGCUGGCGGCAGGCCUAACACAUGCAAGUCGAGCGGGGUUUUCGGACCUAGCGGCGGACGGGUGAGUAAUGCGUAGGAAGCUACCCGAUAGAGGGGGAUACCAGUUGGAAACGACUGUUAAUACCGCAUAAUGUCUACGGACCAAAGUGUGGGACCUUCGGGCCACAUGCUAUCGGAUGCGCCUACGUGGGAUUAGCUAGUUGGUGGGGUAAUGGCUCACCAAGGCGACGAUCCCUAGCUGGUUUGAGAGGAUGAUCAGCCACACUGGAACUGAGACAGGGUCCAGACUCCUACGGGGGGCAGCAGUGGGGAAUAUUGGACAAUGGGCGCAAGCCUGAUCCAGCCAUGCCGCGUGUGUGAAGAAGGCCUUCGGGUUGUAAAGCACUUUCAGUAGGGAGGAAGGGUUAAGUGUUAAUAGUACUUAACUUUGACGUUACCUACAGAAGAAGCACCGGCUAACUCUGUGCCAGCAGCCGCCGUAACAC